GAGGGUAUAGCUCAAAUGGUAGAGCAUAUACUUAGCAUGCAUGAGGUCCCAGGUUCAAUCCCUAGUACUUCCU
rnacentral:tRNA from 1 species